rnacentral:rRNA from 1 species
CGGACGGGUGAGUAACACGUGAGCAACCUGGCUCUAAGAGGGGGACAACAGUUGGAAACGACUGCUAAUACCGCAUAACGUAUCGGGAUGGCAUCUUCCUGAUACCAAAGAUUUUAUCGCUUAGAGAUGGGCUCGCGUCUGAUUAGAUAGUUGGUGGGGUAACGGCCCACCAAGGCGACGAUCCAUAGCCGGCCUGAGAGGGUGAACGGCCACAUUGGGACUGAGACACGGCCCAGACUCCUACGGGAGGCAGCAUG